rnacentral:rRNA from 1 species
ACAUCCAGAGAAUUUAGCAGAGAUGCUUUAGUGCCUUCGGGAACUCUGAGACAGGUGCUGCAUGGCUGUCGUCAGCUCGUGUUGUGAAAUGUUGGGUUAAGUCCCGCAACGAGCGCAACCCUUAUCCUUUGUUGCCAGCACGUAAUGGUGGGAACUCAAAGGAGACUGCCGGUGAUAAACCGGAGGAAGGUGGGGAUGACGUCAAGUCAUCAUGGCCCUUACGAGUAGGGCUACACACGUGCUACAAUGGCGCAUACAAAGAGAAGCGACCUCGCGAGAGCAAGCGGACCUCAUAAAGUGCGUCGUAGUCCGGAUUGGAGUCUGCAACUCGACUCCAUGAAGUCGGAAUCGCUAGUAAUCGUAAAUCAGAAUGUUACGGUGAAUACGUUCCCGGGCCUUGUACACACCGCCCGUCACACCAUGGGCGUGGGUUGCAAAAGAAGUAGAUAGCUUAACCUUCGGGAGGGCGUUUACCACUUUGUGAUUCAUGACUGGGGUGAAGUCGUAACAAGGUAAGCGUAGUGCU